GAUGAACGCUGGCGGCGUGCUUAACACAUGCAAGUCGAACGAGAAGUGAAGACGGAAACCUUCGGGCGGAAGGCUUUAUUUCGAGUGGCGGACGGGUGAGUAACGCGUGGGUAACCUGCCUCAUACAGGGGGAUAACAGUUGGAAACGACUGUUAAUACCGCAUAAGACCACAGCACCGCAUGGUGCGGGUGUAAAAACUCCGGUGGUAUGAGAUGGACCCGCGUUCGAUUAGCCAGUUGGCGGGGUAACGGCCCACCAAAGCGACGAUCGAUAGCCGAUCUGAGAGGAUGACCGGCCACAUUGGGACUGAGACACGGCCCAAACUCCUACGGGAGGCAGCAGUGGGGAAUAUUGCACAAUGGGGGAAACCCUGAUGCAGCGACGCCGCGUGAGUGAAGAAGUAUUUCGGUAUGUAAAGCUCUAUCAGCAGGGAAGAAAAUGACGGUACCUGAGUAAGAAGCCCCGGCUAACUACGUG
rnacentral:rRNA from 1 species